rnacentral:misc_RNA from 1 species
GCUAUGUUGACCUUACUUAUAACUUUAAUUGCCACUUCCCCGGUUAUCAUGUGUUCAUUUCUAUAUUUGCUGGGCCGGAGUUUGAUUCCUUUCUUAUUCGUUUUCUAUUUUCUUUUCUCCUUAGUUCUAUAGAGCAAAACUACAAUUGCUUUCCUAUUGUUUUGGGAUAAAUUUAAGGGUAUAUUACAUGUUAGUCCCUAAGGUAUGUCAAAAACCAUGUCAGUCCAUGUGCUUUUUAUUAGUCUCCAAGUUUUG